UACGGAGGGUGCAAGCGUUAUCCGGAUUCACUGGGUUUAAAGGGUGCGUAGGCGGGCAGGUAAGUCCGUGGUGAAAUCUCUGAGCUUAACUCGGAACGGCCAAGUGAAACUGUCAAGCUAGAGUGCAGAAGGGGCAAUCGGAAUUCUUGGUGUAGCGGUGAAAUGCGUAGAUAUCAAGAGGAACACCUGAGGUGAAGACGGGUUGCUGGGCUGACACUGACGCUGAGGCGCGAAAGCCAAGGGAGCAAACGGG
rnacentral:rRNA from 1 species